rnacentral:rRNA from 1 species
UUAAGCGACUAAGCGUACACGGUGGAUGCCCUGGCAGUCAGAGGCGAUGAAGGACGUGCUAAUCUGCGAAAAGCGUCGGUAAGGUGAUAUGAACCGUUAUAACCGGCGAUGUCCGAAUGGGGAAACCCAGUGUGAUUCGUCACACUAUCGUUAACUGAAUACAUAGGUUAACGAGGCGAACCGGGGGAACUGAAACAUCUAAGUACCCCGAGGAAAAGAAAUCAACCGAGAUUCCCCCAGUAGCGGCGAGCGAACGGGGAGCAGCCCAGAGUCUGAAUCAGCUUGUGUGUUAGUGGAACGGUCUGGAAAGUCCGACGGUACAGGGUGAUAGUCCCGUACACCAAAAUGCACAGGCUGUGAACUCGAAGAGUAGGGCGGGACACGUGGUAUCCUGUCUGAAUAUGGGGGGACCAUCCUCCAAGGCUAAAUACUCCUGACUGACCGAUAGUGAACCAGUACCGUGAGGGAAAGGCGAAAAGAACCCCGGCGAGGGGAGUGAAAAAGAACCUGAAACCGUGUACGUACAAGCAGUGGGAGCACCUUCGGGUGUGACUGCGUACCUUUUGUAUAAUGGGUCAGCGACUUAUAUUCUGUAGCAAGGUUAACCGUAUAGGGGAGCCGCAGGGAAACCGAGUCUUAACUGGGCGUUAAGUUGCAGGGUAUAGACCCGAAACCCGGUGAUCUAGCCAUGGGCAGGUUGAAGGUUGGGUAACACUAACUGGAGGACCGAACCGACUAAUGUUGAAAAAUUAGCGGAUGACUUGUGGCUGGGGGUGAAAGGCCAAUCAAACCGGGAGAUAGCUGGUUCUCCCCGAAAGCUAUUUAGGUAGCGCCUCGUGAACUCAUCUUCGGGGGUAGAGCACUGUUUCGGCUAGGGGGUCAUCCCGACUUACCAACCCGAUGCAAACUACGAAUACCGAAGAAUGUUAUCACGGGAGACACACGGCGGGUGCUAACGUCCGUCGUGAAGAGGGAAACAACCCAGACCGCCAGCUAAGGUCCCAAAGUCAUGGUUAAGUGGGAAACGAUGUGGGAAGGCACAGACAGCCAGGAUGUUGGCUUAGAAGCAGCCAUCAUUUAAAGAAAGCGUAAUAGCUCACUGGUCGAGUCGGCCUGCGCGGAAGAUGUAACGGGGCUAAACCAUGCACCGAAGCUGCGGCAGCGACACUAUGUGUUGUUGGGUAGGGGAGCGUUCUGUAAGCCUGUGAAGGUGACCUGUGAGGGUUGCUGGAGGUAUCAGAAGUGCGAAUGCUGACAUAAGUAACGAUAAAGCGGGUGAAAAGCCCGCUCGCCGGAAGACCAAGGGUUCCUGUCCAACGUUAAUCGGGGCAGGGUGAGUCGACCCCUAAGGCGAGGCCGAAAGGCGUAGUCGAUGGGAAACAGGUUAAUAUUCCUGUACUUGGUGUUACUGCGAAGGGGGGACGGAGAAGGCUAUGUUAGCCGGGCGACGGUUGUCCCGGUUUAAGCAUGUAGGCUGAUUGUCCAGGCAAAUCCGGAUAAUCAAGGCUGAGGUGUGAUGACGAGGCACUACGGUGCUGAAGUAACAAAUGCCCUGCUUCCAGGAAAAGCCUCUAAGCAUCAGGUAACAUCAAAUCGUACCCCAAACCGACACAGGUGGUCAGGUAGAGAAUACCAAGGCGCUUGAGAGAACUCGGGUGAAGGAACUAGGCAAAAUGGUGCCGUAACUUCGGGAGAAGGCACGCUGGUGUGUAGGUGAAGCCCCUGCGGGUGGAGCUGAGACCAGUCGAAGAUACCAGCUGGCUGCAACUGUUUAUUAAAAACACAGCACUGUGCAAACACGAAAGUGGACGUAUACGGUGUGACGCCUGCCCGGUGCCGGAAGGUUAAUUGAUGGGGUUAUCCGUAAGGAGAAGCUCUUGAUCGAAGCCCCGGUAAACGGCGGCCGUAACUAUAACGGUCCUAAGGUAGCGAAAUUCCUUGUCGGGUAAGUUCCGACCUGCACGAAUGGCGUAAUGAUGGCCAGGCUGUCUCCACCCGAGACUCAGUGAAAUUGAACUCGCUGUGAAGAUGCAGUGUACCCGCGGCAAGACGGAAAGACCCCGUGAACCUUUACUAUAGCUUGACACUGAACAUUGAGCCUUGAUGUGUAGGAUAGGUGGGAGGCUUUGAAGCGUGGACGCCAGUCUGCGUGGAGCCAACCUUGAAAUACCACCCUUUAAUGUUUGAUGUUCUAACGUUGGCCCCUUACCGGGGUUGCGGACAGUGUCUGGUGGGUAGUUUGACUGGGGCGGUCUCCUCCCAAAGCGUAACGGAGGAGCACGAAGGUUAGCUAAUCCUGGUCGGACAUCAGGAGGUUAGUGCAAUGGCAUAAGCUAGCUUGACUGCGAGCGUGACGGCGCGAGCAGGUGCGAAAGCAGGUCAUAGUGAUCCGGUGGUUCUGAAUGGAAGGGCCAUCGCUCAACGGAUAAAAGGUACUCCGGGGAUAACAGGCUGAUACCGCCCAAGAGUUCAUAUCGACGGCGGUGUUUGGCACCUCGAUGUCGGCUCAUCACAUCCUGGGGCUGAAGUAGGUCCCAAGGGUAUGGCUGUUCGCCAUUUAAAGUGGUACGCGAGCUGGGUUUAGAACGUCGUGAGACAGUUCGGUCCCUAUCUGCCGUGGGCGCUGGAGAAUUGAGGGGGGCUGCUCCUAGUACGAGAGGACCGGAGUGGACGCAUCACUGGUGUUCGGGUUGUCAUGCCAAUGGCACUGCCCGGUAGCUAAAUGCGGAAGAGAUAAGUGCUGAAAGCAUCUAAGCACGAAACUUGCCCCGAGAUGAGUUCUCCCUGAGACUUUAAGUCUCCUGAAGGAACGUUAAAGACGAUGACGUUGAUAGGCCGGGUGUGUAAGCGCAGCGAUGCGUUGAGCUAACCGGUACUAAUGAACCGUGAGGCUUAACCUU